rnacentral:rRNA from 1 species
UACAAAGGUCUCAAGCGUUGUUCGGAUUCAUUGGGCGUAAAGGGUGCGUAGGCGGCGCGGUAAGUCGGGUGUGAAAUCUCGGAGCUUAACUCCGAAACUGCAUUCGAUACUGCCGUGCUUGAGGACUGGAGAGGAGACUGGAAUUUACGGUGUAGCGGUGAAAUGCGUAGAUAUCGUAAGGAAGACCAGUGGCGAAGGCGGGUCUCUGGACAGUUCCUGACGCUGAGGCACGAAGGUCAGGGGAGCAAACGGG